rnacentral:tRNA from 1 species
GCGAACGUGGCGGAAUGGUAGACGCGCUGGCUUCAGGUGCCAGUGACCGCUAAGGUCGUGAGGGUUCAACUCCCUCCGUUCGCACCA